AGGGCAGCGACCUGGCCGGGAAGAGGGAGAGCUGGGCAGCCUUGGAGCAGCUCCACAGGAUGGGAAAGGGUGAAAUGGCCCUGAGGAGAGGCUGGCUGGGCUGGUGUCACCGCCAAGGUGACCUGGGGACAAGGCAGGGUGUUUACAAGGCUUGCAGUGCCCUGGCCCCGGGCGGCAGGAGGGGGAAGCUGCCCGUGCCCCUGGCAGGGGAGAUUCUGCAAGGACAAGCCUCUUAAAUCAAACCUAACCCGGCUGCGGGGCGAGCUGCCGAGGGAAAUCCGGAGCUGCUCGGGGCAAGAGUUAAAACGUGUUAAGCACCGAGAUCCAGGCCAGAUGUGGAACUCUCCGGGGCCACCACGGGGCUUUGAGCCGCUUGUUUGACACCUCUGCUUUCGACAUUAAAAGUCCCAGCGGGGAGGAAAUCCUCCUGGCCUGAGUUAUGUGCUAUUUACCGAGGGGGGCAGCCCUUGAAAGGAGUCCCAGUAAAACCUGGAAUAAGAUGCUGGAUGAAGAUAAAAAUCCUCCUGCCUCUGAGGGAUAAGGGAAGGCUGGAAGUGUGUGAGAGCUCCAGGCUCCGUUUGGAAAAGCACUCACAGGCAAUAAACCCCUGCUCUUCCUGCUCAAUUGCUGGCAUGGGAUAGCAGAGGCUUCUCCCCGCCCCGAGUCAGAUGUGGGGAGGAAAAAUCAGGAAUUACUGGCUGGAUGCUGCAAGUCCCCAUCAGGAAUCUCCCCCUCUCUCUGCUCCUCUCCGUUCCCAGGUUUUCCUGUGGUUCAGGGAAGUGCUGGAAUCCCUGGAAACGUCCAAAAAAUGUGUGAAUGCAGCACUUGGGGACCUGGCUUCACGGGUAGCACGGUUAAAGCAUGCACUGUGACAUUCCAGAGGCUGCAGAGCUCUGCUGCCAGCUGCUGCUGCUGAUGUGCAGCCCCAGGGACGCAGCCCAGGUGUGGGACAGGAUUGACUCUGCCUCUCCAAAACCACUGAAAUUCCCCAGCAGGACAGGCUGGGAAUAUCCUGGAGCAGCCCAGCCCUGCAGAGAGCAGCUGACAUUUCCACCAGGCUGAAAGCAAGGAGGAUUUCUGGAGGAAAGGGGGUAAAUUUGGGUCAGUGGUGCUGGUUGCUGGGAGCAGGGCAGGAAGUGGCUGUGUUUACAGGGCUGGAGUUGUUUUUUCCUGUGGCACACACACAGAAUGCUCUCGGAGCCUGGAAAUGGUUUUUAUGGGAGACAGCAAUUAUCCUGCAGGGUGAAUAAAAAAAAAUAAAUAUUUGUGUGGGAAAUGAAUUUGUAGAUUAAAAAAUAGCCGGCUUCUGAUUGUAACAGCGUGAAUUAUAACUUCUGUAUCGUCACACGAGACUGAAAAUGGAAUAAAAGUUUUUAA